UAGUGGCGAGCGAACGCGGAAGAGGGCAAACCGAGAGUAGAAAUACUUUCGGGGUACGGACUGCUUUUAAGACUCAAUCUGUUAACCGAACGGCAUGGGAAGGCCGGUCAGAGAGUGUGAGAACCACGUAGGUGAAAACGGAGAGAGCUGCGCAGAUUCCAGAGUACGGCCAGACACGUGAAACCUGGUCGGAAGAUGGGGGGACCACCCUCCAACCCUAAAUACUACCCAGUGACCGAUAGCGUAUAGUACUGUGAAGGAAAGGUGAAAAGCACCCCGGGAGGGGAGUGAAAAAGAACCUGAAACCCUGUGCCUACAAGCACCUAGAGCGCGUCAAUGCGUGAUAGGGUACUUUUUGUAGAACGGUCCGGCGAGCGAUUGUAUGCAGCAAGGUUAAGGACUUAAGGUCUGGAGCCGAAGCGAAAGCGAGUUUGAAAAGGGCGUUAAGUUGCAUAUAAUGGGCCCGAAACCGGGUGACCUACCCAUGGUCAGGUUGAAGUGGAAGUAAAAUUCCAUGGAGGACCGAACCGACCUCCGUUGAAAAGGCGGCGGAUGAACUGUGGGUAGCGGAGAAAUUCCAAUCGAACCCGGAGAUAGCUGGUUCUCCCCGAAAUAGUUUUAGGACUAGCCUCAAGUUAGAUACCUGGAGGUAAAGCACUGAAUAGCCUAGCGGCCGAGAGGUUAGCGAAGCUUAUCAAACUCAGAAUGCCAGAGUAUUGAUGCUUGGGAGUCAGACAGUGUCAGAUAAAUGUCAUUGUCAAAAGGGAAACAGCCCAGAUCUACAGCUAAGGUCCCAAAGUCAGGUUAAGUGGAAAACGAUGUGAAGAUACGCAGACAACCAGGAUGUUGGCUCAGAAGCAGCCACUCAUUCAAAGAGUGCGUAAUAGCUCACUGGUCGAGCGUCUUUGCGCGGAGAAUUUAACGGGGCUAAACCUGACACCGAAGCUUAGGCAAUCCAGUAAUGGAUUGGGUAGGGGAGCGUUGUAUACGCGGAGAAACAGUAGCGUAAGCGGCUGUGGAGUGUAUAGAAGUGAGAAUGCCGGAAUGAGUAGCGCGAAUGCAGUGAGAAUCUGCAUGGCCGAAAGCCUCAGGUUUUUGGAGGAAGGUUCGUCCGCUCCAAGUUAGUCGGGAGCUAAGGUGAGGCCGGAAGGCGUAGCCGAUGCACAGACGGUAGAGAUUCCGUCACCACCAAAAGAGUUAAGCACAGGGACACAUUUGAAGUCUCAGAGCCGGGUGUUGGUUCCGGUAGAGAUCGAGGGAAGUUAGUACCGAAGUCUGGGAUGGAAGAUGGCGAGAAAAGCUGUGUGUAUUUCUGAGGUGCCCGUACCGCAAACCGACACAGGUAGGUAGGAAGAAGAUUCUAAGGCCAACGGGAGAAGGGUUGUUAAGGAACUCGGCAAAUUGACCCCGUAACUUCGGGAGAAGGGGUGCUCCAGAGAUGGAGCCGCAGAGAAUCGGCCCAAGCAACUGUUUACCAAAAACACAGGUUUGUGCUAAAUCGAAAGAUGACGUAUACGAGCUGACGCCUGCCCGGUGCUGGAAGGUUAAGAGGAGAUGUGCAAGCAUUGAAUCGAAGCCCCAGUGAACGGCGGCCGUAACUAUAACGGUCCUAAGGUAGCGAAAUUCCUUGUCAGGUAAGUUCUGACCCGCAUGAAAGGCGUAAUGAUUUGGGCACUGUCUCAACAGCCCGCCCGGCGAAAUUGUAGUACCGGUGAAGAUGCCGGUUACCCGCGACAAGACG
rnacentral:rRNA from 1 species